UGAUGGUCUUUGGCCGUCCGAGUUGUAAUUUAGAGAAGCGUCUUCCGCGCUGGACCGUGCACANGUCUCCUGGAAUGGAGCGUCAUAGAGGGUGAGAAUCCCGUCUUUGGCACGGACACACCAGGGCUUUUGUGAUGCGCUCUCGAAGAGUCGAGUUGUUUGGGAAUGCAGCUCAAAAUGGGUGGUGAACUCCAUCUAAAGCUAAAUAUUGGCGAGAGACCGAUAGCGAACAAGUACCGUGAGGGAAAGAUGAAAAGCACUUUGGAAAGAGAGUGAAACAGUACGUGAAAUUGUUGAAAGGGAAACGCUUGAAGUCAGUCGCGUCGACCGAGACUCAGCCUUGCCUUGGCUUGGUGUACUUCUCGGCUGACGGGUCAGCAUCAAUUUUGCCCCUUGGAUAAUGGCGAGGGAAAUGUGACACCUUUGCGGUGUGUUAUAGUCCCUCGUCGCAUGCAAGGGUUGGGAUUGAGGAACUCAGCACGCGCCUUUGGGCGUCGGGGCUUUGCCCACGAUACGUGCUUAGGAUGUUGGCGUAAUGGCUUUAAACGACCCGUCUUGAAACACGGACCAAGGAGUCUAACAUGCCUGCGAGUGUUCGGGUGGAAAACCCGUGCGCGCAAUGAAAGUGAAAGUUGGGACCUCUGUCGUGGAGGGCACCGACGCCCGGACCAGACCUUCUGUGACGGCUCUGCGGUAGAGCAUGUAUGUUAGGACCCGAAAGAUGGUGAACUAUGCCUGAAUAGGGUGAAGCCAGAGGAAACUCUGGUGGAGGCUCGUAGCGAUUCUGACGUGCAAAUCGAUCGUCAAAUUUGGGUAUAGGGGCGAAAGACUAAUCGAACCAUCUAGUAGCUGG
rnacentral:rRNA from 1 species